rnacentral:rRNA from 1 species
UACGUAGGGGGCAAGCGUUUGUCCGGAUUUAUUGGGCGUAAAGAGCGUGUAGGCGGCCCGGUAAGUCCGCUGUGAAAGUCCAGGGCUCAACCCUGGGAUGCCGGUGGAUACUGUCGGGCUCGAGUCCGGAAGAGGAGUGUGGAAUUCCUGGUGUAGCGGUGAAAUGCGUAGAUAUCUGGAGGAACACCGGUGGCGAAGGCGGCAUCCUGGACCAAUAUUGACGCUGAGGAGCGAAAGCCAGGGGAGCAAACGGG